rnacentral:tRNA from 1 species
GCUGAUGUAGCUCAGUGGUAGAGCACGUCCUUGGUAAGGACGAGGUCGAGGGUUCAAAUCCCUCCAUCAGCUCCA